rnacentral:rRNA from 1 species
AUGUUUCUUUUUUAUGGAGGUGACGAAGAACUCGUCGUAAAGGGUUACGUCGACGCUAGCUUCGAUAGAGAUCUGGAUGACUCUAAGUCACAAACCGGAUACGUGUAUAUGUUGAAUCGUGGAGCAGUAAGCUGGUGCAGCUGCAAGCAGAGCGUCGUUGCGGGAUCUACAUAUAAAGCGAAGUACAUGGCAGCCUCAGAGGCAGCACAUGAAGCAAUUUGGGUGAAGGAGUUCAUCACCGACCUAGGAGUCAUACCCAAUGCAUCGGGGCCAAUCACUCUCUUCUGUGACAACACUGGAGCUAUUGCCCAUGCCAAGGAGCCCAGGUUUCACAAGAAGACCAGGCACAUCAAGCGUCGUUUCAACUCCAUCCGUGAAAAUGUUCAAGAUGGAGACAUAGAUAUUUGCAAAGUACAUACAGAUCUGAAUGUCGCAGAUCCGUUGACUAAACCUCUUCCACGAGCAAAACAUGAUCAACACCAAAACUCUAUGGGUAUUCGAUUCAUCACAAUGUAA